rnacentral:lncRNA from 1 species
GGAGAACAAAGGAAGGAGAAGUAAGUUGUGGAAUGCUGAGAAAGGUGGAGUCUCACCCUGCUGCCCAGGCUGAAGUGCGAUGGUGUGAUCUCGGCUCACUGCAACCUCUGCUUCUGGGGUUCAAAUGAUUCUCCUGCCUCAGCCUCCUGAGUAGGUGGGAUUAGAGGUGCUCGCCACCAUGCCCAGCUAAUUUUUGUCUUUUUAGUAGAGACGAGGUUUCACCAUGUUGGCCAGGCUAGUCUCAAAUUCCUGACCUCGUGAUCUGCCUGCCUUGGCCUCCCAAAGUGCUGGGAUUACAGGCGUGAGCCACCACGUCCAGCCAAAACCCCAUACCUAUUAACAGUCAUGCCUCACAUCUCACAUACCUCUAGAGGUUCCUGUAAACCACGAAUCUACUUUUUCUAUUCUGAACAUUUUAUGCUAAAGUCCCAGGGAGAAAAGACUUUGGCUUGGGGCCCUUCAUGGUGAACGAGGAGAUGGGUCCACUGAAGAGAAAAAAAAAAGGAAUGGAAGCUGACCUACAGGGAACAAGAAAGUGGGGCCAGCCACAUCCUCCAGCCACCAGUUGGGGGGUGUGGGGGGAGGGGGUUGGACAAGAUGACCUCUGAGGUUUCUGUCUCACUCAGUCUGGCUGACAGCUGAGUGACAGGCUUGCUCAGAAAGGACAUCCAGAUGUCAGUUUCUGAUGCAUCCAGGAUACUGGAGUUCAAACAUUUUCACCCUUCUACUUCCUUGGCUCCAAGCUUUAUACUGAGAGCUGGUUCUCAGGCUGUGAAAGGGGUAGGGUUUGCGGUGGGCAGACUGCUGACCUCUGCCUCCCGAUUUCAGGUUGCUCUGCCACUCAGUGUUGGCCUUGGACUGUCCUGAGCAGGUUGCUGUUCCCCUACCCUGCCAUGUACAUAGAAGGCAAGUGUGAGACCUUCAUUUUCUCACUAGAAAAUACUGAAUAAAGUUUUCUGAGGGCCCCCUUCCCUAUUUCACAUGCUAAGCUGGAGGGCAAAAAUUGAACAUGGAAGUGGUAGAAAUAGGUAGUUCCCAGUGGAACACCAAAUACAGCCAGGCUGAAGGGCCCAAGCAAAGCAGAGGAACAGACAGCACUGGAUUCCCCUCAUUCAUCCCUGUUCUCUGCUGACUCUUCCCAAGUUGGGGUCCCAUCAGCUACCCAUGAGCAUGCCAAAAACAAGCACACAGUUAAUAGUUUGCAGCAUAGACAAGCAAGGUUCUGAGAGAAACACCACCUCCCUGGCAACUGUACACUCUGCUCUCCUGAGACUGGAGAGCAAAGCUGAUUACAAUCAAAGGGAAAAAGACAGAAAAUAUCCUGCCUCCAGGAGUCAGGCUAUCCUCCAGUUUUCUUGGCAGCACCAUUGUCCCUUGCUGACCACUGACUCCCUGCCAGGAGGGGUGGGAGAGAGACUAGGAGACUCACCUUGGGACAAAGGGCUGGUCCAGCCUUUUCAGCUCCUGGGGAACUUUGUCCCAGCCAAUGCUUUCAUGGAAACUGAGCUAUGAGAGAC